rnacentral:rRNA from 1 species
GUCCAGACUCCUACGGGAGGCAGCAGUGGGGAAUAUUGCACAAUGGGGGAAACCCUGAUGCAGCGACGCCGCGUGAAGGAUGAAGUAUUUCGGUAUGUAAACUUCUAUCAGCAGGGAAGAAAAUGACGGUACCUGACUAAGAAGCCCCGGCUAACUACGUGCCAGCAGCCGCGGUAAUACGUAGGGGGCAAGCGUUAUCCGGAUUUACUGGGUGUAAAGGGAGCGUAGACGGCAUGGCAAGUCUGAUGUGAAAACCCGGGGCUCAACCCCGGGACUGCAUUGGAAACUGUCAGGCUAGAGUGUCGGAGAGGCAAGUGGAAUUCCUAGUGUAGCGGUGAAAUGCGUAGAUAUUAGGAGGAACACCAGUGGCGAAGGCGGCCUGCUGGACGAUGACUGACGUUGAGGCUCGAAAGCGUGGGGAGCAAACAGGAUUAGAUACCCGAGUA